GAUGAACGCUGGCGGCGUGCCUAAUACAUGCAAGUCGAGCGAACGGACGAGAAGCUUGCUUCUCUGAUGUUAGCGGCGGACGGGUGAGUAACACUUGGAUAACCUACCUAUAAGACUGGGAUAACUUCGGGAAACCGGAGCUAAUACCGGAUAAUAUUUUGAACCUCAUGGUUCAAAAUUGAAAGACGGUCUUGCUGUCACUUAUAGCUUGAUCCGCGCUGCAUUAGCUAGUUGGUAAGGUAACGGCUUACCAAGGCAACGAUGCAUAGCCGACCUGAGAGGGUGAUCGGCCACACUGGAACUGAGACACGGUCCAGACUCCUACGGGAGGCAGCAGUAGGGAAUCUUCCGCAAUGGGCGAAAGCCUGACGGAGCAACGCCGCGUGAGUGAUGAAGGUCUUCGGAUCGUAAAACUCUGUUAUUAGGGAAGAACAUAUGUGUAAGUAACUGUGCACAUCUUGACGGUACCUAAUCAGAAAGCCACGGCUAACUACGUG
rnacentral:rRNA from 1 species